UUUAAUUGAAGAGUUUGAUCAUGGCUCAGAUUGAACGCUGGCGGCAGGCUUAACACAUGCAAGUCGAGCGGUAGCACAGGGGAGCUUGCUCCUUGGGUGACGAGCGGCGGACGGGUGAGUAAUGUCUGGGAAACUGCCUGAUGGAGGGGGAUAACUACUGGAAACGGUAGCUAAUACCGCAUAACGUCGCAAGACCAAAGAGGGGGACCUUCGGGCCUCU
rnacentral:rRNA from 1 species